rnacentral:rRNA from 1 species
UACGAAGGGGGCUAGCGUUGCUCGGAAUUACUGGGCGUAAAGGGCGCGUAGGCGGUUCUAUAAGUCAGGCGUGAAAUUCCUGGGCUUAACCUGGGGGCUGCGCUUGAGACUGUGGGACUUGAGGUCAGAAGAGGGUCGUGGAAUUCCCAGUGUAGAGGUGAAAUUCGUAGAUAUUGGGAAGAACACCAAUGGCGAAGGCAGCUCGCUGGGACGUUACUGACGCUGAGACGCGAAAGCGUGGGGAGCAAACAGG